CAAAGUAUGCAUUCCUAUCCUGUUCUUCCUAUCUAUAGUUACAAGGCUUUUCUCUUCAACGAUUGUUAUUCCAAUUUCCAGGAAACCCCCAUAGUAAGCUAAUGUCUUGAUUGAAGAGUUUUUAACAGAUAACCAAAUUUAUAGAUAUGAAAUAUAGCAUGUUAUUAAUUAGUAUCAAUUGACAUAUAACCGUGUACCUUGAAUGGUUGAAGGAGAUCCCAUGUUGAAUUGGAAGUGACUUCAGAGAAUUAGGUUUUGAGAGCUCUUCUGACUCCUUACUGAUUGAGCGUACUUGCAAUUUUUCGUGUAGUUAACCUAAUGAGAUAAUUAGCUUAUAUACUCAUUAGUGGAGGCAGGGACCUGAUGAGUCAUUAAUAUGUUAUUUUAAUAUGCUUUUUAGUUUAGAUUUUAUAUAAAUUUAUAUUAGUAUUAUUUCCUUUCUAGGAUAGUUUACUUUAAAAUGCAAUCUAUUAUAUUUCAGGAAGGAAUAUUUGAUGGAAAGAGUCUUGGAGCAAAAGAAAGGGAUUUGGAGCAGAUUGGACACAAAAACAUGAAGAUUGGGAAGCAAAAUAUAUCUCCCACAAGUCAGAAGCUUGGCACGGCCCGUGCUAGCCUUGGCACGGCCGUGCCACCCUCCAGAUGCCUUUUGCUGCUUUUGCUUUGACUCCAAGCUAUUCUAUUUUGGCGCACAAUCUACCGAGGAAUAUUCUAGGAAUAUACUUGCUUAGAUUCUAAGUCAAUUGUGUACUAUAAAUAGAGUAGCUAGCCAUCACUAAUAUUCAUCUUUACUUGGAAUACAAUACGUGACAUUUGCUUUCUAAAUAAAGUUCUUUUCCUUUAUUUCUUUGUCUUUUACUUUCAUGCUUUCUCUCUUCUCCCCCAUGUCUACGAUGAACAUGAGUGAGUAGACUUCUUCCUGUCUUGGGAUUGUUGGAUAAGUCUAAAUGACAUAAUCCUAAUCAAACCAAGCCCUAAGCCUUAAUCUUAUGUAACCCUAAUUUCUUAUCUGAAUUCACCGUCUUAACAUGGAUUAACCAUUAUCAAACUGUGGAAACGUUUGAUAAUUGUUCGUCCAUUAUUCCAAAUAUCAAUUCAUAAAACGAAAGUGAAGCUUUGAUAUUCGAACAAGUGAAUUCAGACAAGGAUUGCAAAGUCAGCGAAAUAGGCUUUGCAAUCUUUGAGACAUAUAGUUUCGAUCUUCAAGGGAACUAAUAACAAUCAAGUCAGCGAAAUAGGCUUGGUUGUUAGAGGAACCAAAAUCCAAUAGUAAUCAAGUCAGCGAAAUAGGCUUGGUUUCUAGAGGAACAUAAGAGAAACUGUCUUGAGAAAUUAGGUCUAACAUAACAUUAUAAGCUUAUGGUUUCGGUUUGAGAAGGACUUGUUAUUUAGAUGAAACCAACGAUCCCAAGGCUCCAACGAUCCCAAGGCUCUUUUAUUAUAUUAUUUUUAACCGUUCAAAACCCCCAAUUUACAACUUCGAUAAGACCGUGCACUUGCGGUUUUAUCUCAUCAGGACCUCUCAAAUGGGCCGACUAUUAAGAACGGUCCAACCCAUCACAGUCCGUUCACAAUAAGCCCAAUAUAUAAAUACCAAGUACAA
rnacentral:lncRNA from 1 species